CUUCACCGAACCGAGCAGCAGCGGGCGGUCGCGAUCCUGGCCGUACGUGGCCAGCAACGCCUGCGCUUC
rnacentral:antisense_RNA from 1 species